rnacentral:snRNA from 1 species
AUACCUUUCUCGGCCUUUUGGAUAAGAUCAAGUGUGGUAUCUGUUCUUAUCAGCUUUUAAAACAUUUCAAAUGCUGUCAAUGGUCUUCCAUACACACGAUGAAACCAUCUUAUUCUACUUUCACUCAUU